UACAGAGGUCUCAAGCGUUGUUCGGAAUUACUGGGCGUAAAGGGCGCGUAGGCGGCCUUCUAAGUCAGACGUGAAAUCCCCCGGCUUAACCUGGGAACUGCGUCUGAUACUGGGAGGCUUGAGUAUGGGAGAGGGAUGUAGAAUUCCAGGUGUAGCGGUGAAAUGCGUAGAUAUCUGGAGGAAUACCGGUGGCGAAGGCGGCAUCCUGGACCAUAACUGACGCUGAGGCGCGAAAGCUAGGGGAGCAAACGGG
rnacentral:rRNA from 1 species